AAGAGCUUCAUCAUCCGUUGGAGUUUGCUGAUCAUCUUUGCGAUGGUGAACUUGUUCAUCUGGUUUAUGUAAACGACAAGAGCAGACAAUAGUAGAAUCAUCAGCCACAACAACGGCUGAAGGGGAAGUAAGAUAUGUGAGAACAUCUUCAGACGAGGUAACCCUUAACCAUUAAAACCAUAACUCGUACA